GGAAUAUUGGUCAAUGGGCGGAAGCCUGAACCAGCCAAGUCGCGUGAAGGAUGAAGGUUCUAUGGAUUGUAAACUUCUUUUAUUCGAGGGUAAAGUGAGGUACGUGUACCUUAUUGCAAGUAUCGAAUGAAUAAGCAUCGGCUAACUCCGUGCCAGCAGCCGCGGUAAUACGGAGGAUGCGAGCGUUAUCCGGAUUUAUUGGGUUUAAAGGGUGCGUAGGCGGGUGAUUAAGUCUGUGGUGAAAGCGUGCGGCUCAACCGUACCGAGCCAUGGAAACUGGUUGUCUUGAGUAUAGACGAGGUAGGCGGAAUGUGAUGUGUAGCGGUGAAAUGCUUAGAUAUGUCACAGAACUCCGAUUGCGAAGGCAGCUUACCAGGCUAUAACUGACGCUGAGGCACGAAAGCGUGGGUAUCAAACA
rnacentral:rRNA from 1 species